CGGUGUAUUCGUACCCUUAUCAUUCUCUCGCCCCGUGUGAUUUUUACUUUAACAACUGGACGGAGAACUGAUAAGGGCUCGUAUCACC
rnacentral:pre_miRNA from 2 species